rnacentral:rRNA from 1 species
AGAGUUUGAUCAUGGCUCAGAUUGAACGCUGGCGGCAGGCCUAACACAUGCAAGUCGAGCGGUAACAGAAAGAAAGCUUGCUUUCUUUGCUGACGAGCGGCGGACGGGUGAGUAAUGCCUGGGAAUAUACCCUGAUGUGGGGGAUAACUAUUGGAAACGAUAGCUAAUACCGCAUAAUCUCUUCGGAGCAAAGAGGGGGACCUUCGGGCCUCUCGCGUCAGGAUUAGCCCAGGUGGGAUUAGCUAGUUGGUGGGGUAAUGGCUCACCAAGGCGACGAUCCCUAGCUGGUCUGAGAGGAUGAUCAGCCACACUGGAACUGAGACACGGUCCAGACUCCUACGGGAGGCAGCAGUGGGGAAUAUUGCACAAUGGGGGAAACCCUGAUGCAGCCAUGCCGCGUGUAUGAAGAAGGCCUUCGGGUUGUAAAGUACUUUCAGUUGUGAGGAAGGCAGUUAAGUUAAUAGCUUGGCUGUUUGACGUUAGCAACAGAAGAAGCACCGGCUAACUCCGUGCCAGCAGCCGCGGUAAUACGGAGGGUGCGAGCGUUAAUCGGAAUUACUGGGCGUAAAGCGCAUGCAGGCGGUCUGUUAAGCAAGAUGUGAAAGCCCGGGGCUCAACCUCGGAACAGCAUUUUGAACUGGCAGACUAGAGUCUUGUAGAGGGGGGGUAGAAUUUCAGUGUAGCGGUGAAAUGCGUAGAGAUCUGAAAGGAAUACCGGUGGCGAAAGGCGGGCCCCUGGACAAAGACUGACGCUCAGAUGCGAAAGCGUGGGGAGCAAACAGGAUUAGAUACCCUGGUAGUCCACGCCGUAAACGAUGUCUACUUGAAGGUUGUGGCCUUGAGCCGUGGCUUUCGGAGCUAACGCGUUAAGUAGACCGCCUGGGGAGUACGGUCGCAAGAUUAAAACUCAAAGGAAUUGACGG